rnacentral:rRNA from 1 species
GACGAACGCUGGCGGCGUGCUUAACACAUGCAAGUCGAACGGAAAGGCCCUGCUUUUGUGGGGUGCUCGAGUGGCGAACGGGUGAGUAACACGUGAGUAACCUGCCCUUGACUUUGGGAUAACUUCAGGAAACUGGGGCUAAUACCGGAUAGGAGCUCCUGCUGCAUGGUGGGGGUUGGAAAGUUUCGGCGGUUGGGGAUGGACUCGCGGCUUAUCAGCUUGUUGGUGGGGUAGUGGCUUACCAAGGCUUUGACGGGUAGCCGGCCUGAGAGGGUGACCGGCCACAUUGGGACUGAGAGACGGCCCAGACUCCUACGGGAGGCAGCAGUGGGGAGUAUUGCACAAUGGGCGGAAGCCUGAUGCAGCAACGCCGCGUGCGGGAUGACGGCCUGCGGGUUGUAAACCGCUUUCGCCUGUGACGAAGCGUGAGUGACGGUAAUGGGUAAAGAAGCACCGGCUAACUACGUG